rnacentral:misc_RNA from 1 species
GCAACAAGAGGUUAUGGAGUGAAAUUGUUAAUUAUCCGUUGUUCCGUACGAAGUAAAUCAAUAUCAAGUAUAUCACGGACAUAUCAAUUCAUUGAAACAAUCCCGCCGUCAAUCUUUCUAUUGAUCGGUGUAAUCAUCACGUGCGAUUCUAUCAGUAAUUUUCGAUUGUUUUAAUUUCUUUUUUGUUUAAAUUCGUUUUUUAACUCCACCUGCGCAUCUACGGUUUCGGCCAAAACUUAAUCCGUUAGGACGUUGAACACGAUUGACAUUCAGACUUGUCUAACGACCUAAACUUAAUACAAAAACUCGACGAGUGGUCGUCACAUCUAACGUCUUAACAUCGUUCGCGUGGUUAUCGAUAGUUGUUUUUCGAGCAUUCGAUAACAAUUACGAUUAAAAAUUGUUCAUACAUAUAUUUAAUACAUAUAUCACAUUAUAUACAUCAUAUAAACACAUUUAAUAUUGAGUGUUAACUGUUUUACUUUUGAGAAAUUAGCGGUUUUACACGUUUGACUUUUUAUUUUUUCCGCUCGACGUUAAGAACUUGUACGUCAUAUCGUUGGCGUCCCACCGUUGCCAAUUAUCGUCGCCAGCAACCAUCGUUCGUCAAACACGUUUGGCACGCUUGGUCAUCGGUAAACCGUAAAUCCAUACGAGUAGUGUUUGCCUGUGUGUGUGCAUUCGCAUUUCGCCAGAGAAAAUGUCCAACAACGAUUGCAGAAUCUACGUGGGAAACUUACCCCCGGACAUACGUACUAAAGAUAUCCAGGACCUGUUUUACAAAUUCGGUAAAGUGUUGUUCGUCGAUUUGAAAAAUCAGAGGGGACCGCCAUUCGCAUUCGUCGAAUUCGAUGACCCGAGAGAUGCAGAAGAUGCAGUUCAUGCGAGAGAUGGAUAUGAUUAUGAUGGGUAUAGAUUACGAGUAGAAUUUCCACGUGGUAAUGGUCCACAUAGAGGUGGUGGAAGUUACAGUAGAGGAGGUGCUAGUAGUGGAAGUGGAAGAAGUAGAGGUCCUCCUGCUAGACGUUCUCAGUAUAGAGUAUUGGUUACUGGAUUACCUGCUUCUGGUAGUUGGCAAGAUUUAAAAGAUCAUAUGCGUGAAGCAGGAGAUGUAUGUUAUGCAGAUGUGUAUAAAGACGGAUCUGGUGUUGUUGAAUUUUUACGUUAUGAUGAUAUGAAAUAUGCUGUUCGUAAGCUUGAUGAUUCAAGAUUCCGGUCUCAUGAGGGCGAAGUAACAUAUAUUCGAGUAAAAGAUGAUUAUGGUGGUGGAAGUAGUCGUCGUAGUCGUGACUAUAAUAGUCGAAGCCGUAGUCGUUCUGUAAGUUAUUCACCUCGUGAUCGUGGUACACCAACAUAUUCACCAGUCCGAAAAAGUCAUAGCUAUUCAAGAUCUCGUUCCCGUUCGUAAUAUUGAGGAUAAGCAAAUGACUAACCAUUACAAGUCUGGCAACAAAUUUUUUGAUGAUAAAAUUGUAUUGCUUAUCAAACUGGACAACAUCCUUGACUUCUCAUUAUUUAAUCGUUGGACAGGAAAAUAGCCAUUCACUUUGUUUAAUCAAAAUUCACUGGCUACCGCUUGACUCAUCAAAAUGAUAUUGUGUCGUCCAAGCUAAAUAUUUCAAUGGUCUAAUAAACAUGUGCUGUAAUAUCUGUUGGGCAGCUUCAUGAGGAGGAUUCAUCACUUUUUAUUCCAAUUUGUAAUAAGGAAGUUAUUGGAACUCAAAUGAUUCUACAUUUGAUAUUGACAUUGAACAAAGAAUAAUGUUUCCAAUUUAACUGUUCAAGAACAACAAUUGGAUGUAUCAUUGAAAAAUUAAAUUAAUUAUUUUAUAUACUUCAACAUACCAUAAUUUGGUAUUUUCAUCAAAUCAUAAUGGUCCUGAAACAUAGUACUGCUAC